rnacentral:rRNA from 1 species
UGACGUGUGCGCUAGUCUUGGGGACUUAGCCAUGCAAGCCAGCGAAGCAGCGCGGAGCGGCGGACAGCUCAGUAGGACAGCGAUAAUCCACCCGCGGCACAGACAAGGAUAACCGCGGCAAGCUGCGGCUAAGACAUGGACAGGCUGCAGCGCGGGGAGGCGCGCGCAGCGGACAGGGCGCGGCCGCGGCGGAGUCGCUGGCCCAUCAGCUGGUAGGUAGGGUAAGGGCCUACCUAGGCGACGACGGGUGACGGGGGGUGAGAGCCCGGGACCGGAGAGGGAGCCUGAGAAACAGCUCCCACGUCCAAGGACGGCAGCAGGCGCGGAACUUGCCCAAUCCCAGCGGGGGAGGCAGCUACAAGACGUGGGGAGCCCCGGAACGCACGGCAAAGGAGUGCGGGGCGACUGGAGGGCAAGUCUGGUGCCAGCAGCCGCGGUAAUUCCAGCUCCAGGAGCGCACAUGAGUGUUGCUGCAGUUAAAACGUCCGUAGUCGGCCCGGGCGCGCCGAGAGGAAACCGCGGGGCCCAAGGCGGCGGGCAGCACGGGAGCGGGGGCGACAGGAACGGACAACGGCCGCGGGAUCCGGGGGCGAGAGGUGAAAAUCGGGGACCCCCCGGGGACGGGCGGAAGCGAAGGCGGCGGCCGGGGACGUGUCCGUUGAUCAAGGACGAAGGCCGGAGGAUCAAAGAUGAUUAGAUACCGUCGUAGUUCCGGCAGUAAACGAUGCCGACGGGGCGAGGCCAGCGGGCUGUGUCCGGGAGAAAUCGGAGUGUUUGGGCUCUGGGGAUAGUACAGUCGCAAGACAGAAACUUAAAGAAAUUGACGGAAGGACACCACAAGGAGUGGAGUGUGCGGCUUAAUUUGACUCAACGCGGGGCAGCUUACCAGGGCCGGAUGCGCGGGAGAUUGGCGGCGGCGCGCCCCCGAGAUUGCGCAGGGAGUGGUGCAUGGCCGUUUGCAACACGUGGGGUGACCUGUCUGGUUAAUUCCGACAACGCGUGAGGCCUGGUGCGCAGGCACUGUGCGACGGGCGGCGGCAAGCCGCAGGAGGGCAGGCGAUAACAGGUCAGUGAUGCCCUCAGAUGCUCUGGGCUGCACGCGCACUACAAUGGCGCGGCGAGCGGGCGUGCCGCGAGGCGCAGGCGAGGCCGUGCUGCAGCAGGGAUGGGCGCCUGGAAGGGUGCCCUGAACGAGGAAUUCCUAGUAGCCGCGGGUCACCAUGCCGCGGCGAAUGUGUCCCUGUUCUUUGUACACACCGCCCGUCACUACCUAAGAUGGAUGUGCAGGCGAGGCGGCUGGGCAGGCACCCGAGCCUGUGCAACUAGAUAAGGUAU